rfam:Camelus ferus unplaced genomic scaffold scaffold726, whole genome shotgun sequence.
AGAGAUGGUCGACCAUAAAACGUACGUGUUGUUUAUGACGUAUGUCACAUGGUCCACUAAUUCU